rnacentral:pre_miRNA from 1 species
CUGCCACCUUCUCCCCGCAAGCGGGGAGAAGGGCGAACCCGUUGACGCCCGCGAUCCCCUCUCCCCGCUUGCGGGGAGAGGGUCAGGG